rnacentral:tRNA from 1 species
UCCCUGAUAGCUCAGAUGGUAAAGAAUCUGCCUGCAAUGCAGGAGACCCAGGUUCAAUCCCUGGAUUGGGAA